rnacentral:misc_RNA from 1 species
GAUGAAGAACGCAGCGAAAUGCGAUAUGUAAUGUGAAUUGCAGAAUUCAGUGAAUCAUCGAAUCUUUGAACGCACAUUGCGCCCGCCAGUAUUCUGGCGGGCAUGCCUGUUCGAGCGUCAUUUCAACCAUCAAGCCCCCGGCUUGUGUUGGGGACCUGCGGCUGCCGCAGGCCCUGAAAACCAGUGGCGGGCUCGCUAGUCACUCCGAGCGUAGUAAUACAUCUCGCUCAGGGCGUGCUGCGGGUUCCGGCCGUUAAAAAGCCUUAUUUACCCAAGGUUGACCUCGGAUCAGGUAGGAAGACCCGCUGAACUUAAGCAUAUCAAUAAGCGGAGGA